rnacentral:lncRNA from 1 species
UUUUUAGAUUAAUAUAGAUUUUCAUGAAUUUAUAUUACCUUUUUUCUACCAUUUUUUUGUCAAAUAAAUAUUUAAUAUUUCAUAUAGCAUGAUUCUUUAUUUAGUAGGGGUAGGCAAGAAAACCGAACCGAAAUCGAUCCAAACCAAACCAAAAUCUAUUAUCAAAUAGUUUGGUUUAGAAUUUUAUCAACCUGAACAAAUCAAACCGAAAUAGAUCCGAACUGAACUGCAUUAAACCGAACUGCAUUAAACCGAACCGCGUUAAACCGAACCAAGAAACCAAUGUGUUUUUGUUUUUAUUUGAAUUAAACAUACUAACAAUAAACAAUAUAUUAAAAUCCUAACACUAAAGUCACUAUUAACUUUUUUUAAUAUUCUAUUUACUUUAACUGUUGUGUUCUUAUAAACUUUUGUGGUUUUAUAAGAUUUUUGUUUCAGCUUUAUAUUAGAUUUAAUUUACAUAAUUUAUUCUUAAGAAGCAUUAUUAAUGAUUUGUUUAAUUUUCUAUUGUUUUAGUUAACUUUGAUUUGAAUAUGUUCUUGUGAACUUUUGUAUGUUUAAAUUAGAUUUAGUUUACAUAGCUUAGUUUUUUCAUAGUCACCAACAUGAUGAUUUCAUGACCAUACAUUUAUGUUUAAAAACAUGAUUUCUCUUAAAAUAAUUAAACUAAGGAAACCCAAUUAAACCGAACCGAAACACAAACCAAGCCGAAUACGAACCGA